GUCUACAGCCAUACUACCCUGAGCGCACCCGAUCUCGUCUGAUCUCGGAAGCUAAGCAGGGUUGGGCCUGGUUAGUACUUGGAUGAGAGGGGAGACUGAACUAGACA
rnacentral:rRNA from 1 species